UGAAUUUAGUUAAGUGGUAUGAAUUUUGUGAGCGAAUUAUAUUGGUUAUUAUACGAAUUUUAUGUGAUCAUUUGCAGAUUGGGUGCGUCAACGAUGUGAACAUGGCUGAAGAAGUAUAUACGAGGACUGGUGUGAAGACAAACAUAACAAAUUUUGGGAAAGAGAAUCCGAUAUUUGAAAAUAUCAAUAACGUGGUAAAACAACUCCGUCGUGGUAGAAUUUGAGAUUAUUCGAUAUGGUUGUAAUACAUGAUAUCUUAAUCAGGACUUGGGUGUGUGCAUUGGGGCAAAAACAGGAAGGCGUACAAUAUUGAAGCCCCUGGUAGAAAAUGUAUGCAUGGCUAUUCAAAAUAUUUUGUGUGGUACUGUUGAUGGAAUGUUUAAGAUAAUAUUUUGUUUCUAUAAUUACAUGUGAAUUUUGAAUGAUAAACUAAGAAUUGUUGGGUAUAUUGAUGCACAUUUAGGUGGUUUCAUUCGAAACGCCUAUAUUGGCAAAUAGAUGC
rnacentral:lncRNA from 1 species